CAGGUUCGCCUAUGUUGUUCUUGUCUGUGAUGCAACGAAAGAAGGCGAACUACAAUUUGUCAAAGAAGACCCUGUAAACGAGUUCUAUUUUUAUUUGUAUUCUACACAUGCCUGUGCUAUACCACCGACACCUACAAGUCCGGGUACUGCAACAAGGACGUUUUGGACACCACCACCACCACCAGUUAGAACAAGCGCUGGACCACCUUCAACACCCUCACCAACAUCUUUACCAGUAAUUUUCAGCCAAAAGGCCGAGGUUAUUUUAUUGCUUUGUAUUUUGGUUGUGUUGACAAUUUUGUGUGGUUUGGUUAUUUUGGCAGUUUGUGUUUUUUCUGCAAGAUUUAAAUCAACCAACAAUGUGAAGGCAGAACUUGGCCAGUCUGCAAAUUACGGAACAAAAGAUGAAACGAAAAUACGCCUGAAAACCGAUUUUUAAAGGCUAUUUGGUUCUGUUUGUUUAUU